ACGGAAGGCAGCAGUGGGGAAUAUUGGACAAUGGGGGAAACCCUGAUCCAGCGACGCCGCGUGAGUGAAGAAGUAUUUCGGUAUGUAAAGCUCUAUCAGCAAGGAAGAAAAUGACGGUACUUGACUAAGAAGCUCCGGCUAAAUACGUGCCAGCAGCCGCGGUAAUACGUAUGGAGCAAGCGUUAUCCGGAUUUACUGGGUGUAAAGGGAGCGUAGACGGCAAAGCAAGUCUGAAGUGAAAUCUAUGGGCUCAACCCAUAAACUGCUUUGGAAACUGUUUAGCUAGAGUGCAGGAGAGGUAAGUGGAAUUCCUAGUGUAGCGGUGAAACGCGUAGAUAUUAGGAGGAACACCAGUGGCGAAGGCGGCUUACUGGACUGUAACUGACGUUGAGGCUCGAAAGCGUGGGGAGCAAACAGGAUUAGAUACCCUGGUA
rnacentral:rRNA from 1 species